AGCGAACGCUGGCGGCAGGCUUAACACAUGCAAGUCGAGCGGGCCCUUCGGGGUCAGCGGCGGACGGGUGAGUAACGCGUGGGAACGUGCCUUCUGGUCUGGAAUAACCCUGGGAAACUAGGGCUAAUACCGGAUACGCCCUUAUGGGGAAAGGUUUACUGCCGGAAGAUCGGCCCGCGUCUGAUUAGCUAGUUGGUGGGGUAACGGCCUACCAAGGCGACGAUCAGUAGCUGGUCUGAGAGGAUGAUCAGCCACACUGGGACUGAGACACGGCCCAGACUCCGACGGGAGGCAGCAGUGGGGAAUAUUGGACAAUGGGCGCAAGCCUGAUCCAGCCAUGCCGCGUGAGUGAUGAAGGCCUUAGGGUUGUAAAGCUCUUUUAUCCGGGACGAUAAUGACGGUACCGGAGGAAUAAGCCCCGGCUAACUUCGUGCCAGCCGCCGCCGUAAAAC
rnacentral:rRNA from 1 species